UUUAAUUCACUAUGCAUGGAUAACCCAUUUGUUUAUACUCAGGUUGAGAACAAAGCCAGCUAAUAAGCUUUGCUGUCACCUUAAAUAAAUGGUUUCACAAGAUAAUAACUCCAUGCAGCUACGCCCAAGGGUCAUCAGCAUUUUUAAAGACUCUUUAUGUUUCAGAAAAAGAAGUCACACUGUAAAAGCCAAGAAUACUGUGGGAGAGCUAUUAAAAACUGGUAUUUUGUUUGGAUAUCAAGGUUAAGAGUUACUAGGGACCCAUGGCCACAGAGGCUUUAAGCAGAUCCCCCACCCCAAAAAAGGUGUACACCAGCAAGCCUUCCUUGGAGAAAAGCAAGGCUGGAAAUUGAGCCUUAUCACGAACAUAUGUCCCAGCUCAUCCCCCAUGUGAAACACCUUGAGCUUGAUUGCAGAUAAUAGUCAUAGCCUGUUCAAGCUGACUUGAAAUCCUGCUGAAAGGGCAGCUCUGGCUCCCUUGUCUUGUUUCUCUGUGCCUGUUUAUUGCGUAGUGUUUGUACCAGCACUGCCAGACCCAGAAGUUAUUCUGAAAUGAAAAAAGGCUUGAUAGCCUGAGCUGUCCCUGAAAUGCUACAAUGGGUUCUCCUCCCUCCGCUGCUUUUCAGAAACAGCAGCUGCCCUCUUGCUACACCUACACAUCUCUUUCAUGGGGAAAAAUACCAGUUAGAUAUUUGAUAUCAAACUGGGACACUGCAGUGAUAAGUUGGCAGCUUGUACUCAAGAGUUGAAGAGGAUGCCAACUGUUCAGGCAUUACAGCAUUUACAACAGAACAUAUAACUGCUUACGAUCAUCCUUACAGAUAAAUUCACACCUGAGUAUAAAUGUUGUUGACAUUUACAAGAUCCCAUUUUCUCCUGCUGGAUGUUUUGAAGGAUCUAGCCCAUGCUGCUUCAUCUGCACUGCGAUAUCAAACAAGUAGUCAUAACAUUCACACCUAAAAUAAAUAGGGGAAAAAUGCAAUUGCUGAGGAAUGGAAAGUGCCAUUUUCCUACAUAAUAUUGAUUUGCUGCAUUUCCAUCAGCAGGUGAGGUAAAUUCCAAAAAUGGGACUAGGGAGGGUUACACAAACAGUAUUGGCAGGUGUCAUAUAAAAGCAGAGAUUGCCUGUAUGUUUC